rnacentral:rRNA from 1 species
UACGGAGGGAGCUAGCGUUGUUCGGAUAUACUGGGCGUAAAGCGCACGUAGGCGGCGCAGCAAGUCAGGGGUGAAAUCCCGGGGCUCAACCUCGGAACUGCCUUUGAUACUGCAAAUCUCGAGUCCGAUAGAGGUGGGUGGAAUUCCUAGUGUAGAGGUGAAAUUCGUAGAUAUUAGGAAGAACACCGGUGGCGAAGGCGGCCCACUGGAUCGGUACUGACGCUGAGGUGCGAAAGCGUGGGGAGCAAACAGG